rnacentral:tRNA from 1 species
GCCUGGGUAGCUCAGUCAGUAGAGCGUUAGUCUUUUAAGCUAACGUUCCGGGGUUCGAGUCCCUGCUCGGGCG